AGACCCGAAACCCGGUGAUCUAGCCAUGGGCAGGUUGAAGGUUGGGUAACACUAACUGGAGGACCGAACCGACUAAUGUUGAAAAAUUAGCGGAUGACCUGUGGCUGGGGGUGAAAGGCCAAUCAAACCGGGAGAUAGCUGGUUCUCCCCGAAAGCUAUUUAGGUAGCGCCUCGUGAAUUCAUCUCCGGGGGUAGAGCACUGUUUCGGCUAGGGGGCCAUCCCGGCUUACCAACCCGAUGCAAACUGCGAAUACCGGAGAAUGUUAUCACGGGAGACACACGGCGGGUGCUAACGUCCGUCGUGAAGAGGGAAACAACCCAGACCGCCAGCUAAGGUCCCAAAGUCAUGGUUAAGUGGGAAACGAUGUGGGAAGGCCCAGACAGCCAGGAUGUUGGCUUAGAAGCAGCCAUCAUUUAAAGAAAGCGUAAUAGCUCACUGGUCGAGUCGGCCUGCGCGGAAGAUGUAACGGGGCUAAACCAUGCACCGAAGCUGCGGCAGCGAACGUAUCACUUAAAGCGAUUCAGCGGGUUACGAUUGACGGAGCGAAGCGACGUCAAAGCGUAUACAAAGUCGAGUCGGUUUAAGGAUACGUUCGUUGGGUAGGGGAGCGUUCUGUAAGCCCGUGAAGGUGGCCUGUGAGGGUUGCUGGAGGUAUCAGAAGUGCGAAUGCUGACAUAAGUAACGAUAAAGCGGGUGAAAAGCCCGCUCGCCGGAAGACCAAGGGUUCCUGUCCAACGUUAAUCGGGGCAGGGUGAGUCGACCCCUAAGGCGAGGCCGAAAGGCGUAGUCGAUGGGAAACGGGUUAAUAUUCCCGUACUUGGUGUUACUGCGAAGGGGGGACGGAGAAGGCUAUGUUGGCCGGGCGACGGUUGUCCCGGUUUAAGCGUGUAGGUGUGUGUUCCAGGUAAAUCCGGUUCACUUUAACACUGAG
rnacentral:rRNA from 1 species